rnacentral:lncRNA from 1 species
UAAGAUUUAAGGUCUCGCUUAAGACUUCUAUUCUUAAAUGGAUCUCACACUACUUUUUAUUAAAAUAAUUAUUGUAUUGUUGGAAUGUAAAUAAUGCAGAGUUGUUGAUGGAACUCAUUUAGACCUUUUGUUAAAUUAUGUUUAUUGAAGUGAGUGAGUGCUUAUAACCAACCACAACGCACCAAUCAAAUGCAGCCAAAAAUUCUUUGCGAGUUCAUGCAUUCCCACCACAACUUGUUGCACAUAUAAAUAGAAAGUGUUCUGCAAUGUAAAUUGUGUAGUUAGUUACCUUGUAUUGUCAACUUGCCAUGUUGUGUGCGUGAGAAUAAAAGAACACGAAUGCCAGCUAUUUAGUUGUGAGAGGGUAUAUGCGUGUUGUAAGGUCUGUCACGUGUAUGACUAGUUUUUCAUUUCAUAAAAUAAUAGUAGUUUUUUUUUUUGGGGGGAAA